GCGACUGGGCGCAGCCUGAUCAGCAUACCGCGUGUGUGAAGAAGGCCUGAGGGUUGUAAAGCACUUUCAAUUGGGAGGAAAACCUGCCGGUCAAUACCCGGCAGCUUGACAUUACCUUUAGAAGAAGCACCGGCUAACUCCGUGCCAGCAGCCGCGGUAAAU
rnacentral:rRNA from 1 species